CUACGGGGCGCAGCAGUGGGGAAUAUUGGGCAAUGGGCGCAAGCCUGACCCAGCCACGCCGCGUGAGUGAUGAAGGCCUUCGGGUCGUAAAGCUCUGUGGGGAGGGACGAAAAAACGGGUGUCAACAACACCCGGACUGACGGUACCUCCUUAGCAAGCACCGGCUAACUCCGUGCCAGCAGCCGCGGUAAUACGGAGGUGCAAACGUUGCUCGGAAUCAUUGGGCGUAAAGCGCACGUAGGCGGCCACGCAAGUCGGGUGUGAAAGCCCUCGGCUCAACCGAGGAAGUGCACUCGAAACUGCAUGGCUUGAAUACCGGAGGGGAUCGCGGAAUUCCCGGUGUAGAGGUGAAAUUCGUAGAUAUCGGGAGGAACACCAGUGGCGAAGGCGGCGAUCUGGACGGCUAUUGACGCUGAGGUGCGAAAGCGUGGGGAGCAAACAGGAUUAGAUACCCUCGUAGUC
rnacentral:rRNA from 1 species